ensembl:snRNA U6 U6 spliceosomal RNA
GUGCUCACUUUGGCAGCACAUAUAUUAAAAUUAGAGCAAUACAGAAAAGAUUAGUAUGGCCCCUGCACAAGGACGACACACAAUUUGUGAAAUGUUUCACAUUUUU